rnacentral:rRNA from 1 species
UUAUUGGGUUUAAAGGGUGCGUAGGCGGAAAUUUAAGUCAGUGGUGAAAGCCUGCAGCUCAACUGUAGAAUUGCCAUUGAUACUGAAUUUCUUGAAUCUAAUUGAAGUGGGCGGAAUAUGACAUGUAGCGGUGAAAUGCUUAGAUAUGUCAUAGAACACCGAUAGCGAAGGCAGCUCACUAAGUUAGUAUUGACGCUCAUGCACGAAAGCGUGGGGAGCGAACAGGAUUAGAUACCCUGGUAGUCCACGCUGUAAACGAUGAUUACUCGCUAUUGGCGAUACACUGUCAGUGGCUAAGCGAAAGUGAUAAGUAAUCCACCUGGGGAGUACGAUCGCAAGGUUGAAACUCAAAGGAAUUGACGGGGGCCCGCACAAGCGGUGGAGCAUGUGGUUUAAUUCGAUGAUACGCGAGGAACCUUACCAGGACUUAAAUGCAUAACGAUCGGUUGAGAAAUCAACUUUUCUUCGGACGGUAUGCAAGGUGCUGCAUGGUUGUCGUCAGCUCGUGCCGUGAGGUGUCAGGUUAAGUCCUAUAACGAGCGCAACCCCUAUUCUUAGUUGCCAGCGGUUCGGCCGGGGACUCUAAGAAAACUGCCAGCGCAAGCUGUGAGGAAGGUGGGGAUGACGUCAAAUCAUCACGGCCCUUACGUCCUGGGCCACACACGUGCUACAAUGGUAGGUACAAAGGGCAGCCACUUGGCGACAAGGAGCUAAUCUCUAAAACCUAUCUCAGUUCGGAUUGGAGUCUGCAACUCGACUCUAUGAAGCUGGAAUCGCUAGUAAUCGCGCAUCAGCCAUGGCGCGGUGAAUACGUUCCCGGGCCUUGUACACACCGCCCGUCAAGCCAUGGAAGCUGGGGGUACCUGAAGUCGGUAACCAUAUAGGAGCUGCCUAGGGUAAAACUAGUGACUGGGGCUAAGUCGUA